AUUGAACGCUGGCGGCAGGCCUAACACAUGCAAGUCGAACGAGUGGCGGACGGGUGAGUAAUGUCUGGGAAACUGCCUGAUGGAGGGGGAUAACUACUGGAAACGGUAGCUAAUACCGCAUACCAUCAGAUGUGCCCAUGUGGGAUUAGCUUGUUGGUGGGGUAACGGCUCACCAAGGCGACGAUCCGUAGCUGGUCUGAGAGGAUGACCACCCACAGUGGAACGGAGACACGGUCCAGAUGCCUACGGGAGGCAGCAGUGGGGAAUUUUGGACAAUGGGCGCAAGCCUGAUCCAGCCAUGCCGGGUGUGUGAAGAAGGCCUUCGGGUUGUAAAGUACUUUUGGCAGGGAAGCGUUACCCGAAGAAUAAGCACCGGCUAACUCCGUGCCAGCAGCCGCGGUAAUUC
rnacentral:rRNA from 1 species